AUGCUUCUGCUUUCUGUAUGGAGCUGGGAGCGUCUGCCUGUUGGACGCCCGAAGAGCGUCAAGUUUAAUCAUUGGGAUGAAGAUGGCGAAUUACGGCGCCCCACUUGGGCUUACAAGUGGGAUGUGGUAUCCGAGAUGAUGAACGAUGUCAAUCUCAUGUACAAAAAGUACAUUGCCGAGUUGGACACGAUUACGCCUGAGCAGGUAACGAGGUCAUUACUUCAGUCAUUUCUCAUGCUUGCCUGA
rnacentral:rRNA from 1 species